UGGGAGGGCUUAACUGAUAGGUAG
rnacentral:piRNA from 1 species